rnacentral:lncRNA from 1 species
AUGCAUCCCUGGAUCAUAGCAGACUCUGCCUAUAGAGGCCUGGGGUCCCUUUGGCAGCACUUUUCUCAAGAAAGUAGAGUCGUGGACAACCAACUGCACAGGUUGGGAGGUGCUUGCAGGCUUUGAAGAACAAGCUGCCAUGAAUCCUGCAGCUACAAGGAAAUGAACUCUAUUAACUUGAGUGAGCUUAAAACUAGAUCCUUCCCCAGUCAAGCCUCCAGGUGAGAAUUCAAUCCUGGCUGGCACCUGGAUUGCAGCUUACAGAAGACCCAGCUAAGGCCAUGUCUGGACUUUAAAUCCACAGGAACUGCAAGGGAACUGUUUGAUACACGCAACCAGGACUGUAUGAGAGGCUGGAAACGUAUCUAUCAGUACUACUUAUCUGUAGUAAAGACUUUUUUAAGCUCAUUUAUGAUUGCACAACCUAAAUAACCAUACAUGGCUGGGCCUGGGAAAGGCAGAAAGGCAGAUGGGUGGUAUCAGAAGUGGGACCUGCAGUGGGGCAUCUAGCAACCCCCAGGAGCAUUGAGUGACCAGGCUUGGGACCCACCGGGCGCAGGGUGUCCAUUGUUCUCUCGAAGCAACUGAGAAUUGUGGGUGCAGAUAUUCUUCAUUAUUCCAUCAUCAUCUCAAACCUCUUGGGUAUAGUGUUUGACUACUACUGUGACCAUAAAUUCCAAUAAAACCUAGGAAAAAUGAAACCACUACAUUAACUGAAAGGGAUCAGUGUAUGUGAGAAGUUUGGAUUUCUACCCCCACCUGGCAAUAAUAAGGAUCACAGGUGUGAGCCACCAUUCCCGGCCCCACAUGGACAUUCUUCAACUAAAAAUAUUCAAUAAAAGAAGUAAAAACCAAAUGGAUGGGCUAAAGAACAGAAUAGAGAGGACAGAGGAAAAAUAUCAAUGAAAUUGAAGAUAGAACGAUAGACAUUAUACAAUCUGAACAAUAGGGAAAUUACACUGAAAGGAUUUGACAGCUUCUUUUGGGCAUAUCAGAAUCGCCAGCAUCACUACUCUUGCACUGUGCGGCCAUUAUUAAGUGAAAUAAGGAUUACUUGAACACAAGCACUGCAAUGCCGCUACAGUCAAUGUGAUAACCCAGCUGGUGACUAAGUGACCAAGGACGGGGAGUAUCUACAGCGGGGAGACUCUGGAAAAAGGGAGGAUUCACAUCCAGUGCCACUGGGGCAGGGCAGAAUGAGAGUUCAUCAUGCUACAAAGAAUGGCACAGAAUAUAUCAGAGAGACUUCUCUACUGCUUGGGAUGCUUGUUCAGAGUAUAAUUUCCAUAGCAGCAAGAAAAGGAAUUUUUGUUUGUGGAUACUUUAAAGUAAAUAAAGCUAUUAUAGAAGGCAAAAGAGUAGGUUCUGACAGUUUCAUCCAUCACAAUACAGGCCUCACCAUGUCACUGCCUCAGACUGAUAAAUGCAAAAUGACAGUCAUUCAUCCGGUGGAAUAGAAGAAGCCAGGGAAAAUACAACAUGAAGUCACUUAUGCCAUUUGAUAUAGCUUUGCAAUGUGUAUCUUUUCUCUCCCCUAUCUUUUGUUUUGUUUGUGUACAUGCCAGCAUGAUUAUAGUCUUUGCAAAAAUAUAUACAAGACAACACAUUUCCCUAAAAUAAAAAAGUAUGAAUUUAGAAAGAUUAUAGCUACAUUAAAAUGAAUUCAGAAUCUACUAUGACAUAAAUAGAAUUAGUUAAAGAUUAAGGUUAGAAAGUAAAUGUCACUUCUUAACUUUUUCUCUUUCUUGCUAUUGAGGAGCACAAUCUAAAAUUUGUAGGCAGAUAGAGUAUAAAAGUAAUGUACAAUUAUGGCACUUAUACUAUUUUUUUCUUUUAUACAACAAUUCUACAAAAAUAAUGACUAUAUGUACACAUUAAAGGAAACUGUAGAUUUACUGAAAAAUAGGUAUUAAUAAUAUGGAUAUCAACAGCUGUGUACCUUUAAUUUAAAAAUUAAAAAAAUAAAAAUAACAGUAAACUGAAAGUCUCCAUUCUCUCAUCUUCCUUUUCCUAUGUUUAUUUUUAAACAAAUUAUACUGCAUAUAUCGAUAUCUAUUAGGGUCAUGUGUUGACUUAGCAAUAAAUUUAAUUAUUGGUUUAGAUAUCUUACAGAUGUAUGGAAUCUCUAAUAUACACAUUUUUGUUUAAUAUGUUACUGAGAAAGAAGCUCAAGUGAUAGAAAUAACACAGGACAGGAAGUAAGACAGUUCUCGUCUGAAGUUCUUCUCUGACAGCCCACAAACUAGUUAAUAUGUGUGCCUGUCACAGUCUCCACCAGAAGCUUUAUCUUACUACAGAGUCCAGAUGCAUUAAGGCUGUGUUCGAGCCAUGAUCUUCCUCUGAAGAAGAAAUGAAGAAGAAAUUUAUCUUAUUUUUGGAUAUAGUGUUCUUAGUUGGCAGUUUAAUUAUUAUUUUUACUUCAUCACUUUGUAUACGUCAUCGCACUUUCUCCUGGCCUAUAAGAUCUCUCCUGAGAAAUUUUACGUUCUACUUUACUGGAACUUCAUUAAAUAUUAUUUGCAUCAUUUUUCCCAGAGUUAAUGAACACCUGAAUCUGCGAAUAUGAUUUGAAUAGGAAAGAAUGGGCAGAUACAAGACAUAUUGUGAGGGGAAUCUGAGGUUUGAGUAAAAGAUUUCUUGCCAUCCUAAAGGAAAAGAGUUGAGAUGAAGGAAUGAGUCAUAAAAUUAAUAUGAAGAUUUUUACAUCUACAGUCUUAAGAGUAAUCGGAUUUUCAAAAUUUGACCAAAAUAUAAGCCUCUUCAGCCAUCAGAAGGACACUGUAUCCUCCUCUCACCUUCAGUGCCCGGAUGCAGGAGGUAACUCCCUGGUGAGGAAGACCUAAGUAUAUGGCCAUAGAUUCAUAAGGAGAAUGGAAGAGAAAAGUGCUUUUAAAAGUGAUAAAUUUGAGAAAAACAGGAAGAUGAUUCCAAGUCAUGUUAUUUCCAAGGAAGCAACAAUAACUUCACUGGACCCCUGCUGAUCUUAAAGUGCAGCAUGAAAAACAGUCUUGGAGACUUCUAGAGAUGUCCAAAGUAUGCCUACGGGGAGCAAUAGGGAUACCAGGAGAAUCUGAUGGUAGACGUAUAUUAAAAAAGCUAUUUACAUGUUAAAGACUAUGCCUGACAAAGGAGAGGCUCUGCUGAAUAUGGAAGGGUGUAAACAGUAGAACGAACCUGGACCAUUGAACCCCUGAAUUAUCCAACCAUCUUACUUCUGGACUUCUUAUUUUGUGACUAAAAAUUCCUUUUGAAAUGAGAGUUAUUUGUGAUUGAGAUCUGGUUUACUUAGGAAGGCCCUUGCCAGAUGCCAGCAACUUGAUAUUAGAUUU